AUUCCUGUAUUACCAUUCCAGUUGCAUAAGACGGUAUUUAAUUAUACACAUAUAUAUGUGUGUGUGUGUGUGUGACGUUGUCACUCAAAGCUAUUAGAGAGAAGAUAAACAUCGCUGCGAUUUGUAUUGACUCUUCUCUUUUUCCAGGCGAUUACGCUUCGCAGACGUUGCUAAGCACGAAGCGAGUUUAAACGUGAAUUCCUCGAGGAUUUAUUGCGACAAGUCCGAUACUUUAAUAAUACGCGUCGCAACGGGUUUCUUUAUGAUUCUAUCGCUUACAUCCGCACGGCAGUUAGAUGGAGCAAACGCGUGGAUUGCGUUCGCACAUUUACACGCGCGCGUGCGAUACCUCCGCGCAUACGGAUGCGAUUGUGCAGGGAGGCAACGCGAGGCCGGUAGUGAAAGGGACUUGUAACAGCCGUAACUUUUCUGGGACCCGCUAUGUUUUCCACGCAAUAUCAACUCAACUGACGAUCGCAGGUUUCUGUUAAUCAUAGAGGCGUUGACGAACGGUAUAUGCAGACUGGCUUGGGUACGUUAUAACGGUCUAUUCUACAUUUCGCUGGCCGUCGCGACUUGUCGGCGGCCCACGAGCGAUGUUAAUACGCGAUUACAAUCGCAGAAGAAGAACCUUCGUACAUCGUGAUGCUGCACGAUGUACUUCAAAGCGUGCGUAAAAGCGUUCCGCGUGUCUUAAUAACGCGUUCGCCGAAACGGAUUCCCGAUAACGAGCGCUUAGAAAUCACGAUGCGGAAACGCUAAAAGUUACACACAUGUCCGGAUAAUGGUGAGCUAUCUGGAGAAAGUAUCAAUGCAUUUAGCGCGAGCUGCUUAUAUUAUCGUCCUCAAUUAAAGUUUCAGGUAAAACACAGUUUUUCGUUGACCUAAAAAAAAAUUUUUUUUUUUGUGUAAGAAACGAAAUAUUUUACUGUAACGCUUACUCUUCAUUUUUACAGUUUCACAAAAGAAGCAAAUGUCCACGUUUCGCGCACGAAGACGUAAUAUUAAAAAAAAAAUUGUACACGAAAGUAUGUUUAAUACCUGCUAUAACGGUUCAGCCAACGUGAACAUCUUUAACGAUAUGUCCAUCCAUCAAUGAAACGGUUAUUCUCGCAAUAGCGAGACCGCGCUAAUUACCUGACACCACUUGCAUCCAAGCGCACAUGUAGAAAACGGUGGUGCUCUGGCA